rnacentral:rRNA from 1 species
CAGUAGCCUCGGUAAUACGGAGGGAGCUAGCGUUGUUCGGAAUUACUGGGCGUAAAGCGCGCGUAGGCGGUUACUUAAGUCAGAGGUGAAAGCCCGGGGCUCAACCCCGGAACUGCCUUUGAAACUAGGUGACUAGAAUCUUGGAGAGGUCAGUGGAAUUCCGAGUGUAGAGGUGAAAUUCGUAGAUAUUCGGAAGAACACCAGUGGCGAAGGCGACUGACUGGACAAGUAUUGACGCUGAGGUGCGAAAGCGUGGGGAGCAAACAGGAUUAGAUACCCCGGUAGUCCCUGUCUCUUAUAC